UUUGAUUUCUCAUUUGAUUUGAAGUUUGUAUGUAAUGGGUUUUGCUGAAAGUAAAGUGGAUUGCUCUUACAAUUAGAAAUUUGAAAGCUUUAUCAAAAUUUGGUAGCCGGAUUAUGGAUUUUUUUCAAAUUCGGUGGUGCUUUGGUCCGAUAGAUCCAUGUCUUCUCUCGAUUGGGUUUUUGUUUCUUAUUCCGAUGAUUUGGUUUCCACUAUUCUUGGUUUCAAAAUCUUGGGUUGAUAUGGAUUUUAAUUGUUUUAAUUUUAUGGUCCGUGUUCCUUGACCUUGUGGCCAGAAACUAUGGUGAAUACCGACUUUCUGCAAAUUUGACCGACUUUCUACAAAUUUAACCGAAAAACCAGUCAGCAAAGAC
rnacentral:lncRNA from 1 species